UUCUGAAUGCAGAACAUUAAUUAAUAUUUGUAACAUUAAGUUGAAUUGGGCACCGCGCUCGAAUACUGUAGGUGCAAAUUGAUUUGAAGGCGACGGUUGAGUAUUGUAAAGCUCGUUUAUCUAUUUCCCACGAAGUCGAGGUCAGCUGUGUAUGUGCGUCAUCAUUUUUAACACAACAAUCUGCUUGAAUGACUGGAAUCCUACUGGUACUCAAACCCAGUCAAAGUAUAUUAUUGGAAUUUGGGGUCUUUCCCAAAGGAUUUGAUGAGUUGAAGCUUGCAACGAAUAUAUCUCAUUUCUUUUACAAACGGUGAUUGUCGAGCCAAAAAAAAGGUGAAAGAAAUCCUGCAAGAGCUGUUACCGGAGCUGGUGUCUGUAACGUGCUGACUGCGCCUCCUGUUGGCUGAAGUCAAAACAACUGCAUGAGUGAGGAAUUGAAAUUGCGAAUCACAGGUUUCUUUAUCAACGAAGAUGACUCUUGCAGGCUAAACGAUAAAAAGUGGCGAUGAGAUGAAAGGAGGUGCUCCGCUGCAGCAGCUGGGUGAAGAAAGCUGGGAGAGAGUUACCUUUUUGAACUACGGCAUUCCUUGUUUUGAGAAUACUCUGGCAGUGUUGUCAGAAAGGGAAUUCCAUGAUUUCUACUCUGGUCACAGAAGAGGAAUGAAGAAGGCCCUAGUGAUAAUGACAGAACAGCCCCCAAAAACAUCCUCGACACAUUGGAUUUUUUUUUGCAAGUGUGGAAGCAACAAUGUUGGACUGGGAAUAUAAACAGAGGCUCUACUGUGAAAAAAGGAGCAUGUGAAUACUUUUUCAAGGCACUGUAUGUUGUGUAUCAUUGGAACAUUGUAACAAGAUAGAGAAGUCUUCUUAGGACCACACAAGACUGGAGUAAACCAGACUCUGCGGAAACAAGCAAGAAGCUGGAGGACAACGGGUCUUGACCUGAAAUCUUGACUGUUUACACUUUUCCAUGGAUGCUACCUGGUCUGCUGAGUUCCUCCAGCAUUCUUGUGUGUGUUGCUUUGGAUUUCCAGCCUUUGCAGACUUUCUGUUUGAGCAGCUAGAGGAAGUCAGGGGCCCAUAGAGCAUGUAUGGAGCAAAGUAGACAGUCAAUGUCUAUUUUGAGACUGUACGUUUGUACUCUAUCUGGAUGAGUGCAGAUGAAGGGUCUCAAUCCAAAAUAUCAAAUGUCCAUUUCCCUCCACAUAUGCCAGCUGAACUGCUGAGUCCCUUUAACUUCUUUUUAGAGAUUAGACUGGAAAUGGAUUGAGAAUUAAAGAGACGGGGCUUUAUAUUAUAUUGCCUAUCCCUCUCAGUCUAUUAAAAUCUAUCCCUUUGCAAAUUUCAUCAUAGAUAUUUGUCUGUUACAUGUGUGUCGAUUAAAUCAGCCUCUCUGUGUACACUCAGUGGCCACUUUAUAAGGUACACCUGCCUGUAAUGCAAAUAUAUAAUCAGCCAAUCAUGUGGAAGCAACUUAAUACAUAAAAACAUGCAGACAUGGUUAAGAGGUUCAGUUGUUGUUAAGACCAAACAUCAGAAUGGGAAGCGAAUAUGAUCUAAGUGACUUUGAUCAUGGAAGGAAGGUUUGUGCCAGAGGGGGUGGUUUGAAUAUCUCAGAAACUACCAGUCUCCUGAGGUUUUCAUGCAUGGCAUUCUCCAGAAUUUACAGAGAAUCUGAAGAAAAACAAAAAAAAAUCAAUUGAGUGGCAGUUUCGUGGGUAAAAUUGUCAUGUUAAUGAGAGAGGUCAAAGCAUUGAACCUUGAUGAGGAUGGGCUACAGCAGCAGAAGACCAUGAACAUAUAGUGCAGCCACUAUAUUAGGUUCCUAAUAAAUGGCCCCUGAGUAUAUAACCAUUACUAUCCUCUUCACUUACAGGAUUUGUGUUGAUUGCAAAUUUUGCAUGUUAAUACAUCUCCUUAA